GACGGAGGAUGCAAGUGUUAUCCGGAAUCACUGGGCGUAAAGCGUCUGUAGGUGGUCAAAUAAGUCAACUGUUAAAUCUUGAGGCUCAACCUCAAAAUCGCAGUCGAAACUAUUAGACUAGAGUAUAGUAGGGGUAAAGGGAAUUUCAAGUGGAGCGGUGAAAUGCGCAGAGAUUGGAAAGAACACCGAUGGCGAAGGCACUUUACUGGGCUAUUACUAACACUCAGAGAAGAAAGCUAGGGUAGCAAAUGGG
rnacentral:rRNA from 1 species